CUAAUUGAACCUCAAUCCACUAAUAAACCCCAUAAUCAAGAUUCUAAUCUGAUUCUAACAGAAAAAAAUUAACAAUCCUAAAAGGUUGGGCCCUGAGGCCAAUCUAUGCAAGCCCGUUGAUGGGGUGUGGAACGCCAUGGGGGAUUACGAAUUGAAAGGGAACUCGAAUGGGCCUUGGGCCCAAGAUCACUGAAGCACAAGGAUGGCGCAAAUCCAACCUUCCCCACAAAAUCCAUACAUCUUCCAUGGUUCAUGAACGAGACGAAGCUUCUUUAAGAACCUAAGUGCGGCGCUACAAUUUCCGGAUCCUCCUCUCGUCGUCGUCGAGUAGGAAAUCACCAAUCUUAUUUGCUAGAGGAACGAAAAAAAAUCAAUCGAAGGUACCUGACGAGUCUGGCACGGUGGCUCCGGUGGCGCGUUCGUCGUUCUUCGAGCGUUGUGCUCCGUUGUUGUUCGCUCUUCGAUUUGCACCGACGACGAGGAGGAGGAGGUAGCGAUGACCGAUGCUGAUUAGUGAUGAAGCACUUCGUUGAGCUACCGGUAAAUCUGCAAUGAUGACGAAUCGGGGAGUGAAUAUAUCGGACUCUCUUUGAAGCUAGUUGUUUUCUUUCGAUUUUAUUCCUUCUUUCCGUUACGUGAAGAAUAUAUGAAAACUGGAAUGAAGAACUCGUAUGAAGAACCGUGGAUCCUCUCCCUUCUUUCUCUACUUCCAAUCUGACCGCCUCCACUUCCAAUCUAUGGUGAUGAUGACAGGGAUGAUGCUUGAACGUGAUCGCGACGAUGAUGAAACUUCGAAUCACAACUCUCCACUACUCCCUGAUCUGACGGUUCUAGUUCACCAAGAUUCGAUGAAGAAACGAAAAAAUGGAGAUCUAGCAAAUACCGAUUGAAAGAGCGAAGAAGAAUGAUUCAAAAAUCAAAAGAGUUCUUCAAAAUAGGUUUCGUAUUGUCGGCAUUGCCGUUGGAUUUGGAAGGCCUAUGUACAUCAUCUUGGCUUAUGCAGCUUGUGGUUUGUCGCAGCUUAUGCUUGAUAGCAGCUUUUCUGUUUCACGCAGCUUCUUAUAGCUUUUGGUAGCAGCUCAAUUGCAUUUUUUUUUAUUUUGUUUUACUUGGAUAAUGGGUAAUUUGGAAAAUUGUUAUUAUGUGGAUUUAAUGUGGUAAAUGGAUAAUUGGAUAUAAAAAUGGAUUAUUGCUUUGAUGGA